GAAAUAAAUAGAAUAUCAUAUUUACCACUUGGAUAAGAUUGUCAGCAGGCCAAGCAUAGAUAAAAAGCUCAAAACCUGCGUUCCCAACAAUAUUAGCAACCCGAAGCUUGACAGAAAAGGUUACCUGAGCACUUGCUGGUGCUUUUUGAUGCAAGCUACCAAAUCCCGUUCGCUGGAGACCUCCCGAACGUGGUAGCCCAGAACUUCAAACUUCACGCAAGUGAACCACAGCAAGAUAGCGACCUGUAAGUCAAUCGUGACAGCUGCCCCAAUGAAAAAUAGCGCUAUUAUCUGCUGCAAGUACAACGCGAUUCGCAAUGGUUCACUUUUAACAACAAACGGGUACGCUGUGUCUGUCGGAUAAGGGUGAGACAGAAGGAUAGGCUCAAUUAUGAACGCCAGACAGACUGCCCACAUGCUGAGGUUCACAAAGACAUGAAAGAACCCGCUCUUCUCGAUGUACUUCUGCAGGCACUUUUUUUCUAGAGGGUUGGCGUUUCUUAUAAAAGUUUCCAUCUCGUGGUGCAGAAACUAAACCAAAAAAGUUAAAAUUCGUUAAGAAGUCAGUGAGUAUAUAGUUUGAUGCUUUACUUGAAGGCGAUCAGACUGAUAUCGGCAAAUCAGCAAUUUCAGAAAAGCUUGACCUGAUGCUCCGCUUUGACAAGCAGCUUUCACCAUCACCAGCGAAUCCUUGCGAAACACAAAGACAAUGAAAAGCUAAACUGAUAUUCAUCAAUUUUAAAUAAGUUUUUCUUCGCCGAGGGUGAGACUGUUUCUGAUAAUAAAUGUUGCGAUGUAUGGAAAGGGUUUUACUUUUCUUUGUUCUGUGCUACUAUAUCUUUAAAUUUAUUCAUUCACUUCAAUGGAAGUGAUAUUGCAAUUUUAGAAUACUCUGCAACUCAAUCGAUUCAAUAAGGUUAUUUUAAAUUGUUACAAAUUGCAUAAUGUGUGAGUAAAACAUUAAAAUUUUUAUG